rnacentral:rRNA from 1 species
AUAUCAAUAAGCGGAGGAAAAGAAACCAACAGGGAUUGCCUCAGUAACGGCGAGUGAAGCGGCAAAAGCUCAAAUUUGAAAUCUGGCUCCCUUCGGGGGCCCGAGUUGUAAUUUGCAGAGGAUGCUUCGGGUGCGGCCGCGGCGUAAGUCCCUUGGAACAGGGCGUCAUAGAGGGUGAGAAUCCCGUCUUGAGCCGCUGGUCCCGCGCCCGUGUGAAGCUCCUUCGACGAGUCGAGUUGUUUGGGAAUGCAGCUCUAAGUGGGUGGUAAAUUUCAUCUAAAGCUAAAUACUGGUCGGAGACCGAUAGCGCACAAGUAGAGUGAUCGAAAGGUUAAAAGCACCUUGAAAAGGGAGUUAAACAGCACGUGAAAUUGUUGAAAGGGAAGCGCUUGCGGCCAGACUCGGGGGCGGGGGUUCAGCGAGCUCUCGUAGCUCGUGCACUCUCCCGUUUCCCGGGCCAGCAUCAGUUUCGGCGGUCGGUCAAAGGCUCCGGGAAUGUGUCGUCUUUAGGGACGUCUUAUAGCCCGGGGUGCAAUGCGGCCUGCUGGGACUGAGGAACGCGCUUCGGCUCGGAUGCUGGCAUAAUGGCCGUAAGCGGCCCGUCUUGAAACACGGACCAAGGAGUCUAACAUCCACGCGAGUGUUCGGGUGUCAAACCCGUGCGCGAAGUGAAAGCGAACGGAGGUGGGAACCCUUAACGGGGGGCACCAUCGACCGAUCCUGAAGUCUUCGGAUGGAUUUGAGUAGGAGCGUGGCCGUUAGGACCCGAAAGAUGGUGAACUAUGCCUGAAUAGGGUGAAGCCAGAGGAAACUCUGGUGGAGGCUCGCAGCGGUUCUGACGUGCAAAUCGAUCGUCGAAUUUGGGCAUAGGGGCGAAAGACUAAUCGAACCAUCUAGUAGCUGGUUCCUGCCGAAGUUUCCCUCAGGAUAGCAAUAACGAUAUUCCAGUUUUAUGAGGUAAAGCGAAUGAUUAGAGGCCUUGGGGUUGAAACAACCUUAACCUAUUCUCAAACUUUAAAUAUGUAAGAAGCUCUUGUUACUUAAGUGAACGUGGGCAUUAGAAUGGAACGUUAUUAGUGGGCCAUUUUUGGUAAGCAGAACUGGCGAUGCGGGAUGAACCGAACGCGAGGUUAAGGUGCCGGAAUGCACGCUCAUCAGACACCACAAAAGGUGUUAGUUCAUCUAGACAGCCCGACGGUGGCCAUGGAAGUCGGAAACCGCUAAGGAGUGUGUAACAACUCACGGGCCGAAUGAACUAGCCCUGAAAAUGGAUGGCGCUUAAGCGUGCUACCCAUACCUCGCCGUCGGGGUUGAAACGACGCCCCGACGAGUAGGCAGGCGUGGGGGUCCGUGACGAAGC